AACGUAGGAGACGAACGUUAUCCGGAGUUACUGGGCGUAAAGGGCGUGUAGGCGGUUUGUUAAGUCUGGCGUGAAAGCUCUCGGCUAAACCGGGAGAGGUCGUUGGAUACUGGCGAACUAGAGGAUGGUAGAGGCGUGUGGAAUUCCGGGUGUAGUGGUGAAAUGCGUAGAGAUCCGGAGGAACACCAGUGGCGAAGGCGACACGCUGGGCCAUACCUGACGCUGAGGAGCGAAAGCGUGGGGAGCGAACAGG
rnacentral:rRNA from 1 species